rnacentral:lncRNA from 1 species
CUUGGUUAGUGCUGUCCACAAGGUGAGCAGCUUUACCGAAGAAGGUGUGAACUCCAGUAGCUAUAACAACCGCUUCAAUUUCUCCUUGUUUACAAGUUGAGCCAGAGAAAACUUCUUGACCCGGGUGCUUGGUCACGGGAAGGGACUCUCCAGUUAGAGCAGACUGGUCAACCUUUAAAGGAUCACCUUCGAGAAGACGGGCAUCAGCUGGGAUGAUGUCUCCGAGUUUAAUGCUAACAAUAUCUCCUGGGACAAGAAUAGCUGCUUCUUGUUCACUCCAUUUUCCAUCCCUGAGCACCUGAGAAACAGAAACAUCACAACAACAAAAGAAAACAAACAAACAGGUUAAGCUCGAGAGAAGAUUUGAAACGUCAUGUAGACUAACAACGUCACAGCAUUAUGCAACACAAUACCUUGGUUUUAGGAGCAAGACCAGCCAUGAGAGCAGCUGCAGCAUUUCCGGCAUUGUUUUCUUCAAUGAAACUGAUUGUGGAGUUGAUAACAAGCAGACAGAUGAUACCAACAAAAUCUUGCCAAUCCGGAG